AGUUUGAAUACAUAGAAGAGAAUUUGUCCAAUAAGAGUCCUGCGCUUCUCAAGUAUAAUCCGCUUCACAAGAAAAUCCCAGUGCUUGUACACAACGGAAAGCCAGUUGCAGAGUCACUUGUCAUCCUGGAGUACAUCGAUGAGACCUGGAAACACAACCCCAUCUUGCCUACAGACCCUUAUGAGAAGGCCAUGGCACGGUUCUGGGCUAAGUACAUGGAUGACAAGGUAAACCCAAUCCUAUAUUCCUUUUUAAAAAAAAAUCAUUUGGGUCCUGACUACUAUUCAUUAUGCAGCUCUUGCCGGCAGCAAUAAAGGUUGCGAUGAGUAAGGGAGAGGAGCAAAAGGGAGUGAUUGAAGAAAUCCAGAAGCAGCUUAAAACUCUAGAGAGUGAGCUGAAAGAGAAGAAAUUCUUUGGAGGGGAGAGUUUAGGAUUCGUGGACAUAGCUGCAAACACUAUAGUUUGGCUUGUUGUUGCCCAAGAAGCUCUGGGAAUGGAGAUCCUGACCGAAGAGAAGUUUCCUGUUUUGCAUGGAUGGUAUCAAAGGCUUGUUGACGAUGCUGUUUUCAAGGAAUGUAUGCCGCCAAGGGAGCAACAUCUUAGCUUUGUCAAAGUUCGGUUUGGAUCCUCGACCCCCUCCAAAUGAACAGUUGGUUUAUGUCUCUGUAUGACUUGAUAGGAGAGGAGCCUUGCUUCUCAUUUAAGUGGUUUAGUUAUGUAUUUUGACUUUUGAGGUUGUGUCAUGGACCUUAUCUUGUUUCUGGGGAUAAGAACUUAAAAAUAAAUUGGACUAAUAUUGCUCCAAAUGGCAUUAGAAAGAAGAAGACUCAAGCAUUGCUCCUAAAUCCUAAUUAAUAGCAUUUGAAUAUUCUAUGUUCAUCUAAAUAAAAAAUUAUUUUUUAUUCACAAAAAAUCACGAAAGAAAUUUAGGCCUUCUAAAUAAGUACUUGUUUUUCAAUAAAAAAAAUAUUUUAAUUAUUUUUUUUACUUAAAGAGUGUUUAUAUAUGUAUAUAUCAUAAAAUUAUAAAUUAAGUAUUAAAAAAUAAAAAUCUAAAUUGUAAAUGUACCUACAUUUAUAAUUACAAUAUAAAUUUGCAUAUAAUAAUAUUUUAUUUUCAAAGUAUUUAAUAAAACUAUAAAUAUUCUAAAAUUACUCAUAUUGUUUGAUAAAGAGUCAAAGAGAUUUAAAAAAAAACCAUACUAAAAUAAAUAAAAAAAGAUGUUGUAAUUUAUUUAUAAAAGAAUAAAAAAAAAUAUUUUUAAAAUAUUAUUUUAAUUGGAAAUAAAAAACACAAUAUUUUUCUGAUCAGGUAAAUAUGGGCAUUUGAUAAGAAAAAAAAAUGAAAAAGAAGAAAGAUUGACUUAUGUGAUUAUUUUAAAUUUUGAGGGAAAAAAAUUGGCUUAAGGGGUAAUUUUGAAAUUAUAGGGGUUAUUAUUAUGUAGUUGUUAUGAAAAGUCAAUCCGGGUGAUUAAAAAUUUCUUCUUUUAUUUUAAAUAAUGUAUGCUUUGCAUGAUUUGUUUUUGUAUUUGUUUUUACUUUUUUGUUUUUGUUUUUUUCUCCGUUUCCCACCACCUCCCCACUUUUUCUCCAUCCCACCCCACCCACCCACGGGAUUUUGAAAAAAAAUAUAAUAAUUUUAAAAGAUAUUUAUAAAAAUUCCACACUUUUAAAACCAUUUUCAAAUUUAUAAUAUUUUUAAGAAAUACAAUUAAAUUUUAAAGUUGUCUUCUUUGUAGGGACCUCUCCCCUUGGGAAACACGUGGCACGCAGCUCAUGGUGACGCGUGGCACGUGUUAUCAGCCGAACCAUCAUCAUCAGGAUUCCCCUAAGGAUAUGCAUGGUGCAGUUAUCCUAUCCGAACCGCCUCAAGGAAAGGCAAACGACGUUUCAGCUUCUCCUAUCCAAGGAAGAGCAAACGACGCUGGCAGAGCGUAGACAUCCGGAUAGUCCUCACAACACAUCCGGAUAAUCAGCAUGAGUCAUCCGGAUAUAAAUCGUCUGGAUGGUCAAUUAAAGUAGCGUAGACAUCCGGAUAGUCCCCACAACACAUCCGGAUAAUCAGCAUGAGCCAUCCGGAUAUAAAUCGUCUGGAUGGUCAAUUAAAGUAAAGCGAGUCUUACACGCAAUCACAACAAGUAGCCAUGACCCACAUCUUGUCACCUGCAGAGUGAGAAGACAAGAUGAAGUGAUAGCAAGUCACUUCCCACGAUCAUUCUACAUGAUCACCUUCCCACAAUCUCUGACAGCCGCAUCACCUACCAUGGUUUCUGACAGUCGUUCGUAGGGUGAUAAUGCUCCUACUAACACCUAUUGUCAUCAUCACAACAUAAAAUAUCUCCUCACCAUUAAUGAGAGGAACAGUACCCCUGAAGCUGUAUAUAUAUGCCUUCGCACGAAGAAGAAAGGGAUCCCCUGGUAACCUCUUGGUACCUAGUAAAAGGCCAACUGAUUUAUAUAUCUCUCUCUCACCAUGGCUAACAAAACCAUCAGAGGGUGCGUCCGAACACCCUGUCCGGAUGCCUUUUGCAGGUACAACCACUGAAUCAAGAACCCCUUGUGUGUUGAGAAUCACGUGUCCAUCCAUAUAGUAGCAACGUGGACCACCGGAUACGCGAGGCGACAACAUUCUUGAUGUGAUAAUAAGUGUCAUAAAUUUAAAAAUAAUUUUAAAAGUAUUAUAUUUUAAUAAAGAAUGGUUAAAUUUGAGGUUUUUUUUUUCCUUUUUUUUCAAAUAGCUCAGCCAAACUACUUUAGCCCAAGAUUUGAAAAUUAGAAAAGCUUGUAAAACAUAAUUUUUGCUUAAGCAUAUAAAUUCAAGCGUAUUUUGAGUAGACAUCAAUGAAAUGAAUGCAGAAUCGAUAUCCAUUGGAAGAGGGUAUUAAAGCAAGUCCCUAUAAAUCUAAAUGUACAAGUUCUAAGGUGUAGUGUAGGAAAUGGUGGAUGAAUUGGAGAUUUGUGAAUUUUCCUUAAGUAACCUGAAGAACAAAUUAGAGAAGAUUUUUUUAUUAAGAUGUGAAAUGUUACAUCUGUUGAGGACUUGUGAUACAAUUUGAUCAGAUGGGUGGCCAAGGUUGUUAUGCAAUAGUUCAAAUGAUGUUCUUAUCGCUGCUAUUGUGAUAAGUUUGAAGAAAGUUGGUGUUGUGACUACUAUGCUCAGCUUGCAAGGAACGAUUGACUAUUGAGGAUGUGAGGAGUGAGUUUUUAAGCUAUCAAACACUUACGGUCCCCCUUUAAGUUGGCCUUUGGGUAGAACUAUUUUGGUGGUUAGGUCCUUGAAAAAACAAGAGGUGGGAUGCAAUUCAAAGUAUACACGGUUGUCAUUAGCAAAUUUAAAAACAUUAAGUAGAUUUUUGGUUGUUUUUGGAAUAUGAAGCAAUUGUUUUAGUGCAAGUUUUUUGUAUAGAUCAAACGGAAAAUGAGAAUGAUGUGGUACCAAUGUGAUGAAUUGGAAGACCCUUCCCGUUUUCCAUGAAGACUUAGAUGGUGUUUGUUUUUUGACUGAAUAGAAAAAGUCAAAUAUUUUGAUUUUUUCUAUUAAGCUAAAAGUAACAUGUUAACAUCAUCCAACAUAACUAAAAUGAAUUUGUUAUCAAUAAGUUUAAUUUAAUUAUAUUGGAUAAUGUCAACAGGUUAUUUUUAGCUGAAUAAAAAAAGCUAAAAUAUUUGGCUUUUUCUAUUCAGCCAAAAAACAAACACCACCUUAGUCUAGUGUAAAGAAUUGUGAAUAAUUCACAAUGUUGUUGAACUCAGGUGUUAGAUGAUAUGUUGCUCCAAAGUUUGGGUACCAAUAGGUGGAUUUUGCAGCAUAUGAAGGUGCUUGCUGUGAGAAUACAACUGAAAGUUUCUCAUGUUGAGAUAAUAGUCUCAAGGGUUGCUGAGGUAUGUGAGCAAUGUUUCCUUGCGGUGGAUGAUUCUACAGUUGAGAUAGCCCUACGAAUGAAUGAUCAAAUCUGUAAUAACACCACAUGACCACAUGUCCCAACCUUCCACAUAAUUGACAUUGGGGUUUGUUAUUUCCUUCCCAUGAGCUCUUGUCAUAUCUUCCACGUCCUCUUUGGGAUAAGUUUCCUAUGGCAUGUUGCUUUCCAUGACCAAAGAAUUCUUGAGGCCUUGUUGAAUUUUGAACUUCAUAGCGAUUCUUGUUCCAGUUCUCUUAUUAAAGUAUGAAAAUUCACUGGUUGUGGCUAAGUUAACUUGACCAUUGAAAUUUGAACCUUUUAUGUUUUUGUCAAUAUGACUUUCUUAAGCGAGAAGUAGGGCUUCAAUUUCUUCUACAGCAUAAGGAUCGAUUAUUAAACUUACCGAGAUGACAAAUUUUUCAUACUCUUACGGAAGUCCUUCAAAGAUUGCAUCAAUGUGGUAUUUAACUAUUAGUUUAUGGCUUACUAGGGCAAGAGGAUCAAUUGUGCUUCUAUUCUUGAGAAGGUACUCAUUUAGAGUUAGGUCUCCUUUCUUAGUGUUGUGCAGUUGAGUUUUGAGUUGAGUCACUUUGGCAUGUAUUUGAGUAGCAAAAUAAAGGUCUAGGAUUCUCCAUACUUGAGCCGAAGUUUCACAAUUCACCAAACGUGAGAGAAGUGUAGCAUAUAUGGAAGUAAGAAUCCAUGACAUGAUGAGUUGUUCUCGUUGUUCCUAGUCUUGAAAUGUUGGGUUUGUGUGGGGUUGAGCUUCAUUUUCUUAAGACAAAAAUCUUGAUGGUAAGUUUGACAAUUCGGUGAGGAAAUGUUGCAGUUUGUAACCUCUCAAAGUGAUUAGUAUUUGUUUUCUCUAAACUAAAAAGUUGUCGUUAUCCUAACUUGGAUGAAAUGGGAUGUGGAAAAGAAAUGAGGAUAAUUAUGAUGGCCCUUGAGGGAUCUCCUAUACCAUGUUAGAAGACAAAAGAAAACAAUCAAAGAAAAUAUCAGUAGUUUCUCAUUACUUGUUCAGUUGAGUUUAUAGUACAAAUGGUGACUUCCUUAAUUAACAACAGGUUGAUAACAAUUAUUGGAAUUUGUUAUAACAAGAAAAAAUUAAUUAACUAAUUGUGCUAACAGUUAUGCCAAUUCUGUAACGGUUGUGUCAAUGAUCUUGAAUGUAGUGCACUUGAGUUGUUUACCACGGAGUUGUAUCUCUAAUAUAAGACUAUCAAUUUAAAGUUGGUUCUACCCAAAUUUAUAACAAUGACAAAUUAAAAUGAAAAAAAAAAAGAAAAAAAAAACCAAUUCUUUUACAAGUUAUGAAAGACUUGUAAAUGAUGUUGAAAUGUUUGAGGAAUAAAUUCUUGGAUUUUAAACGCGGACGGGGUAAUGUGGAAAUAGAAGAUAAAAAAGAGCAAAGUUGGAUUUUAACUGGCCCAGAUGGAGCUAUUAAACUGUAAUACAUAUUGAAACAUCGAAAUGGAUAUGAACCGUGUGAACCGCCGGUCCAACAUCUUGAACCGGCGGAUCGGACGGUUGAUUCCCUCUUUUUUACUUUCUUACUUUUCCCACCGACCUUCCUUGUGGGUCCCACCUCACUGUCACCCAUCACCCAGCAUUUCCUCCUCUUGUUUGGGUUUUUUUCCAUUUUUUUCCUUUUGUUGCCACCCACCAACCCCUCUUUUCUCCCUCGUGUCACUCUCCCACCCACCAAUCCUCUUCCAGUCAGCACCGUGCCAAGUGUCCUGGCGUUCUGCAAUUCGCAUACAGUAAACACAUGAUCAAGUACCUAAACUAUAUAGCCAUAUGAUAAAAUUGUAAUGCUAACAAAAUUUAGAUAAAAAAUAAUAAAAUAUGAAUGAAUAAAUAAUACAAAUUUAUUAUUUUUAAUUAAAUAUUUUUUUAAAAUAAUAUAUAAAUGAUAUAUUUAUAAUAUAAUGCUCAUUACUCGAUCAUAAUUUAAUCACAUGGAUUCUAUUAAUAAACCAGUGGAUUUUCUACUAGUACCACAAUCGUUCAAUUUCCAAACGUGGUCUUUGAUUUUGCAGUGAAGCCCUUCUGAUUGCUCUGAUCCGCGCAUUUAUUGAAACAGAUUUUAUUUGACCAGCACAUCUAUCUUUACCCAAAAUUCCAUUCUCGGUUAAGGGGGUCUGCUCUCAAUCGAAAAGGGGGAGUCACCGAGGUCGUUGCGUCAAAAAGUUGGUCAUAGUCUUCAAAGGUUCAAUCGUCUAGAGGCAUAGGCCAUACCUCAAUGGAUACGCAUUGGCUGAACGCCUACAAGUUUCCAAGUUUGUCGAGGCCGUCACCAAAUACAUCAUUGGUUCCCUAUCGCCCGUCGGAUCACACCAAACUAAAAUCUCGACAAAUCCAAGGCCGGCAGUACCGCGCCUGGUUUAUCGAGAAAAUCUCUAUAAAUAAGAAGAGGGCAUAUCAAUGGCAGCCAUAUCUCUUCAAACAGCAACUAUGGCUGAAGAAGUAAAGCUUUUUGGCACAUGGGCAAGCCCCUUUAGCCGCAGAAUUGAAGUGGCCCUCAAGCUGAAAGGAGUUCAAUUUGAGUACAUAGAAGAGAACUUGUCCAAUAAGAGUCCUGCGCUUCUCAAGUAUAAUCCAGUUCACAAGAAAAUCCCUGUGCUUGUACACAAUGGAAAGCCGGUUGCAGAGUCACUUGUCAUCCUGGAGUACAUUGAUGAGACCUGGAAACAUAAUCCCAUCUUGCCUACAGACCCUUAUGAGAAGGCCAUGGCACGGUUCUGGGCUAAGUACAUGGAUGACAAGGUAAACCCGAUACUAUAUUCCCUUUUUAAAAAAAAAAAAUUCAUUUGGAUCCUGACUACUAUUCAUUAUGCAGCUCUGGCCGGCAGCAACAAAGGUCGUGGUGAGUAAGGGAGAGGAGCAAAAGGCAGUGAUUGAAGAAAUCCAGGAGCAGCUGAAAACUCUAGAGAGUGAACUGAAAGAGAAGAAAUUCUUUGGAGGGGAGAGUUUGGGAUUUGUAGACAUAGCUGCAAACAUUAUAGUUUUUCUUCUUGUUGCCCAAGAAGCUCUGGGAUUAAUGGAGAUCCUGACCGAAGAGAAGUUUCCUGUUUUGCAUGAAUGGUAUCAAAGGCUUGUCGAUGAUGCUGUUUUCAAGGAAUGUGUGCCACCAAGGGAGCGACAUCUUGGCUUCUUCAAAGCUCGGUUUGGAUCCUCGACGGCUUCCAAAUGAAGAGUUGGUUUAUGUCUGUGCAUGAGUUGAUAGGGGAGGAACCUUGCUAGUUGCUUCUCAUAUAUGUGUUUCAGUUAUGUACUUUGAAGUUGUGUCAUGGACUUUACCCUGUUUCUGGGGAUGACAACUUAAAAAAUAAAUUGGAGUAGUAUUCUAUGUUCAUCUAAAUAAAAUUAAUCAUAUUGUUUCAUUAAGAGUGACAGAGAUUUAAAAUAUGUAUAUAUAUAUAUAUAUAUAUAUAUAUAUAUAUAUAUAUUAAAAAGACGUUGUAAUUUAUUUAUAAAAUAAUUAAAAAAAUAUUUUUAGAAUAUUAUUUUAAUUAGAAAUGAAAAACAGAAUGUUUUUGUUUACUUGUGGGCGUUUGAGCAAGGAAAAAGAUUUGACUUAUAGGUGAUGAUUCUAGAUUAGUUGAAAUACGGCUUUUCACUAUUUGAGGAAAAGAAAAUUGGCUUUUGGCUUGAAGGGUAAUUUUGAAAUUACAGGGAUACUAUUAUUAAAAAUUUAUUAUUUUAUUUAAAAAAAUGUAUGCUCCCUAUGAUACUUUUAAGAAAUACAAUUAAAUUUUAAAAUUAUCGUUUUGAUGUUUUUGAUGUGAUAAUAAGUUUUGUAAAUUUAGAAAUAAUUUCACAAAUUUUAAAUUUAAAUAAAUUGUAAUAAAGUGUUAAUAAAAUAUGAAUAAAUAAAUAAAACAAUUUUAUUUUACUCUUUGGUGUAUAAUAUUUUUGUACCCACAACUUUAGUGAAUUUGCAAAACAAUAAGAAAAUAUGUGAAACAAAAUAUUUUUUAUUAAAAUAUAAUAAUUGUGAGAAUACCAUAUUGGUAAUAAUUCUUUUAUAAAAUAAUAUUUUCUUAUCCUUCUUUCACUUUGAACACACUCCAAAAGGAAGGAAAAUAUUUUUUUAGUUUUGAAAGCUAAUUGAGGGCUUAAUUCGGGAAAGGUGAAAAACAUUUUUUUUUUUUUUCUUAUUUCUUGAAAUUUUUCUUCUUUAUGAAAUUUUUGUUUCAAAUCUAUGAAAAACAUAUCUAUUACUCUUUUACUAUUUCUUGAAAAUUUUCUUAUUUAUGAAUUUCUAUGUGGAGUCGAUCUUCCUUUCAUUAAAGGAAGUCGCCCUAUUAUCCAUAGAAUUAAGAAAUAAAAAAUUUGAAAUUCUUCAAGAUUUAGUUGUUUAAUUUAAAGAAUUUGUUUCAUUAAUUUUAACAACUUAUCUUCUUUAUUAAGGAAAUUUGCUAACAAAAAAAUAUUUAUUUUUAAUUCUCUUUUAAAUUUUGCAAUCUUUCAAAAUUUGUCACAUAUAUUAUUUAUCGAGUUCAAAUUUUGUUGAAUUGGGAAAUCACAAUUUUGAAAACCAAUUUAAUGAUAAUUUAAUUAAUUAAAAGUGUUGAUGUCUAUAAUUUCUUCUUAAUAAUUAAAUAUUUUAAUUUUAUUAUUUAUUAAAAUAAAAAAUCUUAAUAUAUUUAUAUUUUAUUUUUAUUAUGAUUUUAAAUAUAUAUUUUUUAAAUUUUAAUAAUGCUCAAAUAACCAUAUUUACCCAAAAUAUCGAUAAUUACGAAUAUAUCAAUACUUUAAUUAUAUUUAGAAAUAUCAGAGUUGAUAUUUUUUUACAAAUAUCAAUGGAGCGAAAAUUAUUUAAAAUUCACUAACAUCCUUGAAAAAACUAAAAAAAAAAUGAUAAAAUAAGCAAAAAUACACAUUUUUAAGUUUUUUUAAAGUAUAAUUGAUAUACAUAUUAUAAAAAAGAAAAACAUCGAUAGAUAGAAAUAUAUCAGUAGAUUUGAUAUUUGAAUUUUAAGAAUAAUAAAUAUGAAUUUUGGAAGUAUAUAAAGUUAGAAUUGAGUUAAAAAAUAUUUGAUUUUAUUGAAUAAAAAUAAUUUAUACAUAAAUAUAAUACAUAUGAUAUUGUAAUAGUCUUUAGUAUCAAAAUGAAUGGGGAUCUUGUUGAAAAUAAUAUUUAUUUAAAAAAAAUUUAAAUACUUUUAUUAAAACAUGUUUAAUUACAUUUUAAAUAAAAAAUUAAAUUAUUUUAUAUAAAAUAUUUUAUUUAAGAUUUAAUUUCUAAAAUUUUAUUAAAAAUAUGUGAUAACAACUUUUUCUAUUAAUAUUAAUUUAUUUAAAUAAUUAAAAUUAUUAAUAAUUUAUCUUAUCAAAUUAAUUUUAAUUUAUAAAAUAUUAAAACUUUCUUAACUUUCUUAAAUUUUUAUAUUAUAGCAAUUUUUUUGGGUAAAUUUAUAUUUUUAAUAUUUUAAAAUAAAAACAUUUAAAAUUAAAUAAAAUUGAAAGGAUGAAUAAAAAAAAUUUAAGAGUGAAGUGAUAAUAAUUUUUUAAAAUAAGAUUAAUGAGAUAAAUAUGAAAAAUGUUAAAAAUAAAAUUAUAAUACAAAAUAAAAUGAUAAUAUAAAAACAUAUAUGAAAUUUGGGCGAUUGAAUCGUCAAAAAUUCAAAUAUGAGAAUUUUCAAAAUUUUCAAAAAAGUGGUAGAAGGGGCAAUUUUUUUACGUUCUCCAUCUGCUCCGCGUGUCGCUUCGAGAAAUACCAAAAUAUUGGCGAUAGUUUCGAAAAAUUUCCGUGACGAAUAUUGUGUCGGAGCCGGCCGAUAAACGAUAUUUUCCCGAAAUUUUCCGACAUUUCAAUCCUUGCAAUUUAGCCCACUUAAAUAAUGCAAAGAGAUAAGAUUCCAAGGGAAAUAUCAAAUAUCACAUCACCGACAGCGAUAAGUGCCGUCUUCAAAGUCUUCAUUGUCUGGAUGCGUAGGCCAUGCCUCAAUGGACACGCAUUGGCUGAUGUCUACCACUUUGUCAGGCCCUCACCAGAUACAUUAUUGGUUCCCAAUCAUCCAUCCGAUCACACUCCAAACUAAAAUCUCGACAAAUCCAAGGGCCAGCACCGCGCCUGGUUUAUCAAGAAAACCUCUAUAGAUAAGAAGAGGGCAUACCAGUGGCAGCCUGAUCUCUUCAAGCUGCAACAAUGGCUGAAGAAGUGAAGCUGUUUGGCAUGUGGGCAAGCCCUUUUAGCCGCAGAAUUGAAGUGGCCCUCAAGCUGAAAGGGAUUCAGUAUGAGUAUAUAGAAGAGGACUUGUCCAACAAGAGUCCUUCGCUUCUCAAGUAUAACCCAGUCCAUAAGAAAAUCCCUGUGCUUUUGCAUAAGGGAAAGCCAGUUGCAGAGUCACUUGUAAUCCUGGAGUACAUUGAUGAGACCUGGAAACACAACCCCAUCUUGCCUGCAGACCCUUAUGAGAGGGCCAUGGCACGGUUCUGGGCUAAGUUCUUAGAUGAGAAGGUAAACCCAUUACUAUUUUUUUUUCCUUUUUUAUUUUAAAUUCACUUGGGUCCUGACUACUGUACAAUAUUAUGCAGCUCUGGCCGGCAGCAAAAAAGGUUGCGUUGAGUAAGGGAGAGGAGCAUAAUGGACUGAUUGAAGAAAUCCAGGAGCAUCUGAAAACUCUAGAGAGUGAGCUGAAAGAGAAGAAAUUCUUUGGAGGGGAGAGUUUGGGAUUUGUAGACAUAGCUGCAGACAUUAUAUUUUGGCUGCUUGUUGUCCAAGAAACUCUGGGACUCGAUAUCCUAACCGAAGAUAAGUUUCCCGGAUUGCAUGAAUGGUAUCAUAGGCUUCUUGAUGAUGCUGUUUUCAAGGAAUGUGUGUCAAUGGAGCGACUUCUUGCCUCUUUCAAAGUUCGGUUUGGAGCCUUGACUGCUUCCAAAUGAAGAGCGGGUUUAUUUGUGGAUGACUUCAUGGGAGAGGAAUCUUUCUUCUUGCACAUGUAUUUCAUAGUUAUGCAUUAUGAAGUAUUGUAAUGAACCUUGUCCUGUUUGUGGGAAUGAGAACUUAAAAAUAAGUUUGGAGAAGUAUUGCUCCAAAUGGCCUUAGGAAGAAGACUCAAACAUUGCCUCCUAAUUAAUAGGAAUUGAAUAUCCUAUGUUCAUCUACCUCUUGGUUAGAUUGAAUAAAGAUUUGGAUAUAGAAAUCCUUAUGACUGAGUCAUGGUUUGGUUCGGGGUUUAGUUCAGAGAUGAGAAUGUAAGUGGUAUGGGUAACAUUCAGCCUCAACUCCAUUCCUUUUAAGGUUUUCGAUUGGGUUUUCAUCCUCCCAUCAACGAAUGUAAAUCAAAUCUAAAAGUCAUUAUUUGAGGAAUUAUUUGGGUAAAUAAUCCCGACAGUCCAAUCAUCUCUCCCCAGCAUGAUGCUCCCCCAACAUUAUUGAAAUAUGUUUAACAUUUAUUAAAUGUUUAGUGAUGAAUUGGAGUGUGACAAUGAUGCUCUUUCCAAUAAAUAUUUCUCAAAAUUACCAUUUUUUUUUCAAAAAUCCUCCACCAACCCAUUAUAAAUGUAAGUAAUCAUACUAAAAUAAUAAUGCUAAUACAAUUGAAAUAAAAAAUAAAAUAUGAAUAAAUAAGUAACACAAUUUUAUUUUACUCUUUAGUCUAUAAUCUUUCUUCUUAAUAAUUAAAUAUUAUAAAUUUAUUAUUUAUUAAAAUAAAAAAUCUAAUAUAUUUAUAUUUUAUUUUUAUUGUGAUUUUAUAAUUCUUUUAAUUUUAGUAAUAUAUAAAUUAUAUAUUUAUAUUGUACAGUCAGUCACCUCGAUCCCACAUUUCAAGCAUAAACCAAUUAUUUAAAACAUAAUAUUGUUGGAUCAAAACAUCAAUUUUGAUCCAAAAUUCCUUUCUCCGAGAUUAACUGCCCAUGUGAAUGAUCUAAAGCGGUCAGGGAUAUAUCACGUGACCCAAAAAACGACAAAGGAAGGGACAGUGUCGACGGACAGUGCGGUGGCUCCUCUGCCAAAAAGUUGGUCACAGACUUUAAAAGGUAAGUUUUGGGGUAAAAUAACCCUUUUACAACAAAAAAAAACAAAAGAAUUUGGGAAACUGUGUUUUGACGGGCCAUUUGAAAAAUAUCUUAUUUUUGGAAUCCAAUUUUAUAAAAUAUGAUAACCAGAUUUUAAUAUGAAAAGUAAUAUUGCUUUUAUGCACUUUGACCUGGCUCCAUUUUUUUUGUCAAGAUUGCCCUCUGACGGCAAUGACCUCGACGGCAAUGGCUUUUGGCUUAGGUUUUUCGGUGUCGGAGGGGGCUUCCUUUUCGACUUUUUUCUUCAUGCUAGAGUGAGGAGUGAGGAGUGAGGAAGACGAAAGUGUCCUUGCCGUCGUUGUUGCUCCGGUGGAGGAAGUCGCAAAACUUCCACCGUUUUGAUGAUCAUGUGGAGUUGCUUUUCCUGCACCUUCCCGAUGGAGACUUCGCUACCUUGGGUUUCCACACACAGUACAUCCUCGACAGCACUCCCUCGAGCUCGUCGACCUCUGAUGACAAGGACACUCCAGGUCCAUUGCAGAUAAAAAAAAUAGGUUAUAGUGGUGACGAUGACAAUGGACUGAGUUGCGGCGACAAUAACCUUGACACAUCCAGAUUUUUCUCAAAUAUGAAAUAGAAUUUCAAUUGAAAAAUAUGCUUUUGAUAGAGGAGAGAGGAACGGCUUCGGAGGCCGACGAGCUCGAGGGAGUGCUAUCGGGGAUGUACUGUGUGUGGAAACCCAAGGCGGCGAAGUCUCCACCAAGAAGGUGCAGGAAAAACAACUCCACGGGAUCAUCGAAACGGUGGAAGUUCCGCAACUUUCUCCAUCGGAGCAACAGCGACGACAAGGACACUUUCGUCUUCCUCACUCCUCACUCCAGCAUGAAGAAAAAAGCCGAAAAGGAAGUCCCCUUGGGCGCUGAAAAACCUAAGUCAAAAGCCAUUACCGCCAAGGUCAUUGCCGCCGAAGGGCAUUCUUAGCACAAAAAAUGGAGCCAGCUCAAAGUGCAUAAAAGCAAUAUUACUUUCCAUAUUAAAAUUUGGUUCUCAUAUUUUAUAAAAUUGGGUUAUGAAAAUCAGAUAUUUUCCAAAUAGCCCCAUCAAAACACAAGUUUCCCAAAAAAAAUUAUAUAUAAGGUUAAGCCUUUUUACAAAAUUCAUGAUUUUAUUUUAAUUUUUUAAAAUUUAAGUUGAAACCUUGAUUAGAUUUCAGUUUUGGAUUGAAGCCGCAAUUAACAAUUAAGACUUCGUUUUUUAACUGAAGUUGUAAUUAGCAAUUGAUGCUUCAAUUUUUUUUCUUACUUUAAAAUUUAAUUUAAAAAUAUUAAAUUAAAAAUUAUUAUUAAAAUUAAAAAUAUAUAAUUUAAUAAUAAGAAAUUUAUAUACUUAAACUUAAAGAUUUAGUAUUACUUUAAUAAAGAUAAAUUGAUAAAUAUAAUAAUAAAUAAAUAUUUUAUUUAUCAAUAAAUUAAUAAUUUUAAAAUAAUAAAGUUAUAUGAGACAUAAAUAAUGUAUAAAUUUAUAUAAUUUAUUAAUUUAAUAUAUUAAAUUUAUUAUAUUUUUAAAAUAUAAAAUGAUAUAAUCUAUUAAUUUAAAUUACAUCACGUGUAGUACCUACUAAAAUCAUAGAGGGACAUUUUUUUCCAUUAUAUAUGAAAUAUUAAGAUUAUAUUAUUAUUUUAAUAAAGAUUAAUUUGUCAAAAUACAAAUAAAUUAAUAUCUUAAAAAUACAACAAAUUAAAUAUCUUAAAUUAAUAAAUUAUAUAAUUUAUAUCUUAUUUAUAUAUUAUAUAAUUUUAUUAUUUUAAGAUUAUUAAUUUAUUGAUAAAUAAAAUAUUUAUUUAUUAUUAUAUUUAACAAUUUAUAUAUUAGAUUGUUAUAUUUAAAUAUAUAACUUUUUUUUAUUAUUAAGUAUAUACUUUUAAUUUCAAUAAUAAUUUAUAAUUUAAUAUUUUUAAUUAAAAUUUAAAGUAAAAAAAAUUAACUGAAACCUUUAUUGAAAAUUGAGAUCUUAGUUAAAAAAUGAAAUCACAAUUAUCAAUUGUAACUUUAAUUUAAAAAUGAAAUCUCAAUUAACAAUUGAAAUUUCAACUUCAAAAUGAAGCCUCAAUUGAUAAUUGAAGUUUCAGUUUCAAAAUGAUGUCUCAGUUACUAAUUACUUUUUAAAAAUAAAGUAUCAUUUAACAAUUGAAACUUUAAUUUAAAUUUUGAUUAAAUAAAAUAAAAUAAAAUUAUGAUAUAUCUCUUAGUGAUGAUAAAAAGAUUAAUUUGAUCAUAAAGUUUUGCGGACGGGAUACACUAACAUUUCCUUUUAUAAAAGGGUUAUUUUGCACCCCCAAACUCUCAAAAGGCAUUGGCUGACGUCACCAAGUACAUUAUUGGGAUCCCAACCAGCCAUCCUAUCACACUCCACAUUAAAAUCUCCACAAAUCCAAGGUCCAGGACGGCACCUGGUUAAUCAAGAUUCAAGAUCAAGAAAACCACUAUAAAUAAGAAGAGAGCAUACCAAUGGCAGCCACAUCUCUUCAAUCAGCAACAAUGGCUGAAGAAGUGAAGCUUUUUGGCACGUGGGCAAGCCCCUUUAGCCGCAGAAUUGAAGUGGCCCUGAAGCUGAAAGGAGUUCAAUUUGAACAUAGCAGAGAACUUGUCCAGUAAGAGUCCUGCGCUUCUCACGUAUAAUCCAGUUCACAAGAAAAUCCCUGUGCUUGUACACAAUGGAAAGCCGGUUGCAGAGUCACUUGUCAUCCUGGAGUACAUUGAUGAGACCUGGAAACAUAAUCCCAUCUUGCCUACAGACCCUUAUGAGAAGGCCAUGGCACGGUUCUGGGCUAAGUACAUAGAUGACAAGGUAAACCCAAUAGUAUCUUCCUUUUUUAAAAAUUUUCAUUUGGGUCCCGACCACUAUUCGUUAGGCGGUUCUGGCCGGCAGCCAAAAAAGGUUGUGGUGAGUAAGGGAGAGGAGCAAAAGGGAGUGAUUGAAGAAAUCCAGGAGCAGCUGAAAACUCUAGAGAGUGAGCUGAAAGAGACGAAAUUCUUUGGAGGGGAGAGUUUGGGAUUUGUAGACAUAGCUGCAAACAUUUUAGUUUGGCUUCUUGUUGCCCAAGAAGCUCUGGGAUUUGUUGGAACUUUUACUAAUAAAACUAAAUUACCUACUUUUAUCUAGGAAUAUAUUAUUACCUUCAUUAUGAUUUUAACCCAGAUCUAACCUACUAUGUACCAUGAAUAUUCCCUCUCACAGCAAACACCUAGGAAACAACCAAAUAUCUUCUACUUUCAAGCCUACAGUUAUAUUAUACAUGUUAGGGUCAAACAAUGUACUAAAAUGGAUCUCCAAUGACAGUCUAGGAUUUAUAUAGUUUUUUACUAGUGUAAAAAAUUUUAAAUCCUUGAUGAAUGAUGCUUUUACUUCAUGUUUAGUAGACUCUUACUGUGGAUGAGAAUUAAUUAACUAAUCAUAUAUUAAGGUAUCGAAGUGGUAUUUAUCACACUCCCAAAUCCAUACCAUUGAAUAAAAGUCUAAAUACAUAAAACUUAGAUAUAUUUUAAUUUAUAAAGGAAAAAUGGUAAGAUAAUAAAAGUGGUACCUGUCGAACUACAUUCUAGAAUGUCAAAUUUAUAUCCAUGACCAUGAAUAAGGAUAUAAAUAAAUGGAAAUAAGGUACAGAAUACAAAUAAACGAAUCGAUGGUCUAUAUGUAUUUGGAUAGGUACUAUUUUGAUGGCUUAGCAAGAGUAGCUCGGAAAGUUCAAAAACGAAAAAAUGGUGGAUGGUAGACCCACAGCAAUACACCAACCGAUGAAUAUUUUUGAAAGACAUCGGGUCAAACUCGAGUUAUGAUGCAGAAUGGUCUGUGCAAUAUCGCUUCACCAGUAAACGGGUUUGUCCUCAAAUGAAAAAGGGAAGCCGAAAGCCAGUGAACAAAUUACACGAAAAAGUUUGUCCAAGACUCCCAAGGCUUCAAACGUUCCUUCGUCUGCAUAAUUCUUAGUGCACACGUAUUGGCUGACGUCUGGAAGCCUCUUGAUGGCGUCACCAUAUACAUCAAUGCUUCCCAAUCAGCCAUUCGACGACACUGACACGCUCCAAAGUCCAAACUAAGAUCUCGACAAAAGAAAAACCCCUAUAAAUCAGAAGAAAAUACGGCAAGGGAACCAUACCUCUCCAAACUGCAACAAUGGCUGAAGAAGUGAAGCUGUUUGGUGCAUGGGGAAGCCCCUAUAGCCGCAGAAUUGAAUUGGCCCUGAAGCUGAAAGGACUUCAAUUUGAAUACAUAGAAGAGAACUUGUACAAUAAGAGUCCUGCGCUUCUCAAGUAUAAUCCAGUUCACAAGAAAGUCCCUGUGCUCGUACACAAUGGAAAGCCGGUUGCAGAGUCACUUGUCAUCCUGGAGUACAUUGAUGAGACCUGGAAACACAACCCCUUCUUGCCUACAGACCCUUACGAAAAGGCCAAGGCACGGUUCUGGGCUAGGUUCAUAGAUGAGAAGGUAAAUCUAAUACUAUUUUGUUUUUCUUUUUUUAAAAAUCAUCUGGGUCUUGUCUCUUUAAGCAUUGGUAAACUUUAUAUGCAUUAUACAGUUCUGGCCGGCAGCAAAAAAGGCUAUGGCGAGUAGGGGAAGGGAGCGAGAGGAAGCGAUUGAAGAAGCUCAGCAGCAUCUGAAAACCCUUGAGAGUGAGCUGAAAGAGAAGAAAAUCUUUGGAAGGGAGAGUUUGGGAUUUGUAGACAUAGCUGCGCAUCUUUUGUUUUGGCUUGUUGUUGCCCAAGAAGCCUUUGGAGUGGAGAUCCUAACUGAGGAGAAGUUUCCCGCCGUGCAUGAAUUGUAUCAAAGGCUCGCAGAUGAGGCUGUUUUCAAGGAAUGUAUGCCACCAAAGGAGCAACUCAUUGCCUAUCUUAAAGUUCGGUUGGGAGCCUGGACUGCUUCCAAAUGAAGAGUUGGUUUAUGUACGUGUCUGAGUUGAUGGGAGAGGAACCUCUUUCUUCUCAUCUACGUAUGUCAAAGUCCUGUAUUUUGAAGUUGUAUCAUGAGCUUUGUCCCGUUUGUGGGUAUGAGAACUUAAAAAUAAAUUGGAGAAGUACUGCACUAAAUGGUACUACGAGGAAGAACACUCCAGCAUUGCUCCUUAAUAAUAGCAUUUCAAUUCUAUGUACAUCGACCUCUAGAUUAGAUUAAUAAAGAUUUGGAUAUAGAGAUGCUUAUGAAAGAGCAGCAUGGCUUGGUUCUGGUUCAGUUCAUGGAUAUGAGAGAAUGUAAGUGACGUUGAGCCUCAACUCUAAUGCUUUAAGGUUGUGUUUUGAAUUUAUGGCAUGGGAUGCUGAUGCUACUUCUAUAUUCUGCUUUGAAUCAUGGGUGUAUAUGGGCAUCACAAAACUAGAAGCUCCGUUUUGCUACAAAAUUUUCAAAACAUUCAAUGUUUCUAUGCCUAUUUUUUAAAAUAAUUGAUUAUAAACAUAUAAAAUAGUAAUUAACAAAAAUGCUCCUUUUACCAAUUUUUGUUUUUAUUCUAUCAUUCUUCCUAUGCUAUUAGGAGCAAAUUCUCUUUUAUUUAACCAUUUUAGGAUUUUUCAUUAUUUUUUAAACUCUUUUAUAAAUAAUUGAAAAAUCAAUAUUAUUUUCGGUUGGUUGCAGAGUCACUUGUCAUCCUGGAGUACAUUGAUGAGACCUGGAAACACAACCCCAUCUUGCCUACAGACCCUUACGAAAAGGCCUUGGCACGGUUCUGGGCUAGGUUCAUA
rnacentral:lncRNA from 1 species